rnacentral:lncRNA from 1 species
CAAGGUAAUGUGUUAAGAUUUCAAAUGAAAUUCAAAAACAUGCGUGCAACCAAAAACAUGUUCAAAUUACUUAAACUUCCUCACCACCGUCCUCCACCACGCCUGAGGUCGCCUCUGGCGGCGGCGGAACACCAAAACACAAAUUAAAACCAACACCAUAAUCAUGACAACCCGCUCAUGCCAAAUAUAUAAUCAAUUUCAUUUGAAUCCUACUCUAAAGCUCAAACCGAAGAGGAAACUCCAAGAACCCUAGAGCUUCAAAGUUAAAUUAAAUCACGUUUUUGAGGAAUCAAAGCCCAAGAGGUUGGGUCUUUGAUUCCUCUCUCCUCAACCUACAGCGUGGUGUCAAGAACGCAAUGAAAAAUGAAGGAUUUGAAAUGUCACCUUGUCGGAGAAGACAAACUGGAAACCAGAGCUCAGGUACUAUUGAAUCUCUUUCUCUUUUACUUUCGCUUUCUUCUUCUCCUCUUUUUCUUGUUGCUUUCCUUGUUCAUGGAAUUGAGUGAUUUCAAGAGAUGUGAGGAUCGAAUAAGAGAGAGUUGGAGAUUGUGAAUACUCUAAGAGAUGAAGGUUGAGGUUGAGGUUUAAGAUUGAUGAAAAAGAUGAAAAUUGAAUAUGAUUUUUUGAUUUUGAGAGAGAGUUCAGAAAUCGUGAUUUUGAAAGGUGAAGAGUGAUUGUGUUCAAAAUGAACGAAUGAUCGAGAUUCCUGGUGAAAAGGUGAUCAGAGGGUUAUAUAGGUUGUUAGUUACCUAGGGAUUGGUGAAUUCUGUUAGGAAUUCAGUUAGAAAAUUUCCGAACUUUAUGAACUCGAGGUAGUUAGUUAUUUUUGUUGGGAAUUGGCUCGAGGCAGUCAGUUUAUUUCAAUUGUUUUUGUUAUGUGAGGUUAGGUUGGUGCAGUAGGAAUGAAUGGUUGGGAUUGAAUUGUUAGGUUAAUUGGGAUGGAAUUUUGUUUUGCGAAUUGUGUAGUCCAGUUGGAAUGUGGUUUGUGAAUGCAGUGUAAAUGUUUCUUUGUUACUUUUUAUGCUACAUGAUGGCUGUUGAUUAUAGAAUUGCUAAGUAUGAUGUAUGCAUGUUGCUAGCACUGCCUAUUAUUUGCUUGCAUGAUAUGAAUGCAUGCUUGUUUAGAAUGUGUUGCUUGUCAUGCGAAUGGACUAAUACAUAUGCAUGUUGUUUGUUGUCUUGAUGUGAUGAUGAACUGACUUCAUGCAGACCAUUGCCUGCCCUGUUGCUGCUGAUGAUGGUUGGAUGAUUAGGACUACAACAUGCUAUGAAUGAUUGUUGUGUGGAUGCUAUAUUAGAUGAUGAUUUGCAUUGCAUGGUAUAUUUUGAUUGGUUUUGUGGUUGUAUCCUGUUUGUAUUAGGUUCAGCUGCUACUAUGUGCAUAGCUGUUAGUGUAUUGCCAUUGGUGAAAUGAUAUUGAUGUAUGUUAUGUGGUAUGUGCUAUAAAGGGUAUGUGGUUAUGGACUAGAUAUGUAACAUGGCUUCAUUGAAUGUCUGUCAUGGGCAUGUAUUGUAAUGCAUUGCCUUUGUCAAUGAUAUGCUUUAAUGAUGUUAUGGUUGCUCUAAAUGUAUGCAUAUAAUGGUUUGAAUGCUUGUACAUGGUAUGUGUUAUGAUGGUUGACCUAUGUUUGUGAUGCUUUGAAUGAUGUUAUGCUUGACUGUUGAUGAUUAUGGAUUGCAGGGCAGGCCUAGCGUGGUUCCAAGGCAAGGUUCAAUGCAAAGUUUCAAUGCAUGGCAAGUGUUCAAGGCAUGACCAAGUUUCAAGGCAUUUGAUGCAAAAAUGAAGUUUCUUGUUCAUGAAGAAACAUGAUGGUGGAAUAUCAUGAAAUGAUGCUAGAAUGUAUAUGUAACUAACAUUAGGGUUUAAGAGAUGGAAAAAUGUGAUAGUUGACUUUGGUCAGCUGGUUGACCAAAAAAUCAACAAUGGACCAAAAGUCAACUUUUGUAGAAAAUGCAUUUUUUGAUAUUUUAUUUUGUAAUGGAAAAUGUACAUGUUAAUUUAAUGAAUGAACGAACAUUUAUUGGAUGGAUGAUCUUUAUGAUGGAGUGUAAACAAGUUUGAUUUCAAAAUGAACCUUGCCUUAAAAACC